rnacentral:rRNA from 1 species
AACGCUAGCUACAGGCUUAACACAUGCAAGUCGAGGGGCAUCAGGAAGAAAGCUUGCUUUCUUUGCUGGCGACCGGCGCACGGGUGAGUAACACGUAUCCAACCUGCCCUUUACUCGGGGAUAGCCUUUCGAAAGAAAGAUUAAUACCCGAUAGCAUAAUGAUUCCGCAUGGUUUCAUUAUUAAAGGAUUCCGGUAAAGGAUGGGGAUGCGUUCCAUUAGGUUGUUGGUGAGGUAACGGCUCACCAAGCCUUCGAUGGAUAGGGGUUCUGAGAGGAAGGUCCCCCACAUUGGAACUGAGACACGGUCCAAACUCCUACGGGAGGCAGCAGUGAGGAAUAUUGGUCAAUGGGCGGUAGCCUGAACCAGCCAAGUAGCGUGAAGGAUGAAGGCUCUAUGGGUCGUAAACUUCUUUUAUAUAAGAAUAAAGUGCAGUAUGUAUACUGUUUUGUAUGUAUUAUAUGAAUAAGGAUCGGCUAACUCCGUGCCAGCAGCCGCGGUAAUACGGAGGAUCCGAGCGUUAUCCGGAUUUAUUGGGUUUAAAGGGAGCGUAGGUGGACUGGUAAGUCAGUUGUGAAAGUUUGCGGCUCAACCGUAAAAUUGCAGUUGAUACUGUCAGUCUUGAGUACAGUAGAGGUGGGCGGAAUUCGUGGUGUAGCGGUGAAAUGCUUAGAUAUCACGAAGAACUCCGAUUGCGAAGGCAGCUCACUGGACUGCAACUGACACUGAUGCUCGAAAGUGUGGGUAUCAAACAGGAUUAGAUACCCUGGUAGUCCACACAGUAAACGAUGAAUACUCGCUGUUUGCGAUAUACAGUAAGCGGCCAAGCGAAAGCAUUAAGUAUUCCACCUGGGGAGUACGCCGGCAACGGUGAAACUCAAAGGAAUUGACGGGGGCCCGCACAAGCGGAGGAACAUGUGGUUUAAUUCGAUGAUACGCGAGGAACCUUACCCGGGCUUAAAUUGCAGUGGAAUGAUGUGGAAACAUGUCAGUGAGCAAUCACCGCUGUGAAGGUGCUGCAUGGUUGUCGUCAGCUCGUGCCGUGAGGUGUCGGCUUAAGUGCCAUAACGAGCGCAACCCUUAUCUUUAGUUACUAACAGGUCAUGCUGAGGACUCUAGAGAGACUGCCGUCGUAAGAUGUGAGGAAGGUGGGGAUGACGUCAAAUCAGCACGGCCCUUACGUCCGGGGCUACACACGUGUUACAAUGGGGGGUACAGAAGGCAGCUAGCGGGUGACCGUAUGCUAAUCCCAAAAGCCUCUCUCAGUUCGGAUCGAAGUCUGCAACCCGACUUCGUGAAGCUGGAUUCGCUAGUAAUCGCGCAUCAGCCACGGCGCGGUGAAUACGUUCCCGGGCCUUGUACACACCGCCCGUCAAGCCAUGGGAGCCGGGGGUACCUGAAGUGCGUAACCGCAAGGAUCGUCCUAGGGUAAAACUGGUGACUGGGGCUAAGU